UCUAUUGUGGUAACACAAAGUGCAGUGCCAUUUAUGUAUCUUACCUUUGAUACUUAUGGAAUUGAAUAUUGGUUGAGCCAAAUAAUAUUCCUGGAUAUUUUCAAAACAUAUUAAGUUCCAUAAACCUGUAUCAGACUACCUGGCAGGUCUUCCUCUUUCUGUUUCUCUGCUGCCCUAAAACUAUUAUGCAUUCCUGUUUAUGUUUUUUAAAAAUAAUAUUAAGCCAUCUUGGAACAUUCUUGUAAUAGAAUUGCUGAAAUGCUUUAAAUAUCUGAAAAUUUGAUGAUUAGUUGGAUGUCUGAAAACCAGCAUGGUUGUUUCCAAGUUCAGCAAACCUGUUAGAGAACCUUUAUUUCAUUUUUAAAGCACUUCCUUGUGGACUGUUCACAUAUCUGCAAAAGAAAUUUAACAAUAGCAGCAGCAACAACAUAUGGCAGGGAACAACAAUGUGACUGGCAGCUACUUUAUCUCUGCUUCCUACAAGUGGAACAGGAUAGUAUGCUAUUGGCACUUGGCCAUUGUGGCUAGCCUUGUACUAAGGUUAAAAUUCAGUUUUAUUUGAGUGCUUAGAAAGUCCAAGUAAGCCAAUAGGAAACAUGCACCUUUCCAGCAACCUCCUCCUUUAGGAAUAGGUGUUUAUCCCAUUGACAAGCAGACUGACACACCCCCGUGAUCCUUUUGUAACUGCUGCAUUAGCAGAGGAUCAGGUAGCACUUAAUGGGUGCAGACCAUCAUAAAACAUGUUUGAAAAGGUCGGGGCCCUCCUGGAGGGAGAAUAUUUGUGGCACUCUGACAUAAGCUUUGGCUGCUCAUUCACAACAGCUCAUUUGGACAUUUCCAGGCAAAACAACAUAAUGUUGCUUCAGGGACCUCAGAAGGAUCAGCUGCAAGUCUCAGUUUAAGACAAGGACUGUGCUUGACCAGGCUUUCUGUCACAAAGGUACUCAGCAACCAAUGUGCAACAACUUCCUUCAGCAGUCUUGUAAAAGUUCUCAAAUCGCCCUGCACUAUGUUAUGGUCCCUGCUGGGGCUUCCUUCUGUGAAGUGCACAGAAAUCUGGCAGACAGAUGGCACAUAAGUAUGUACUAGACAGAGGUUUUAAAUAAGAUAUAAUUUCACAGACUUAAUGACUGCAACAUGGAUUUUUUUUAACAUUAAGUAUAUUUGCUAAUUGCUGCCAUUUCAUUUUGGAACAGAUUUUUCCUUUCAGAUAGUUUUGCAUCAUAUACGUGUGUGUGUGUGUGUGUGUGUGUGUGUGUGUGUGUGUGUGUGUGUGUGUAAGUUGACUUUAUAUAUAAGUCAAGGGCAGAUUUGGUGUCAAGAUUAGGGAUUUUAUAAGUCAAAGGUCAUCCUGCAGAGAGGGGAGACCACACAUGUCACCCCAGGGCAUCAGCUGUCAUGGCCUCUCCUGCCAUUUUCUACCCAGGUGUUCAAAAAGACCAGAAGCUGCACUACAGCAGAAGGAGUAGAAGAGGUCAGUUCUUUUUUUAGGCCUCCCAGGAUGGACAAAGCUCUCUUUCCAGGCAUUUUGGACAAGGAAUACUUAACUUGUCAUUAGAGAAGACUUUGCCUAUUAUUUUGUUUAAAAAAAAAGUAAGAAAAUACAAGCCAUACUGAAGUCUGAAAGAUUCUGUAAGUGCUGUUUACUUUAAUCUCCAGUAAGAGGCAAGGGAACUCAGGGAUGGUGCUGACUGAUAGCUCCAUUGGAAACCAUUGCAUCAUGCUAUAGCAAUGAUGCUUUUUUGACUAGAGUCCAAGUCAUCCACAGGCUGGAGUAAUAGCUCACUGUCCAGUCUCAGACAAGCAUGUGGUGUCUCCAGAGGAAUCUAAUGCUUGUAACUAACAUGACUCCUCCCAUGUCAUAAAUGGUUACUUUACAUCCAAGCUGGCAUUAAAGUGCAGGGUUGAAACCUCAUCUAUUUGAGCUCUAAAUGGGCUUUGCAUCUGUGCAGGAUAUCAGAGAUCACUAACCAAUGUUGUGUUCUAUUUAAUUUCAAACAAGAGCUAGUAAUUAGUUCCCCACCCCACCCCACCCUUGAGUCUUGCCCAUAAUUCUUUUGUGAUUUCUUUGAUGAAGUAUUGAAGAUUUCAUGCUCUGAAAUAAAAAAUAUAACGAUUUUCAUUAUUUUAAAACUGUAGAGAAACAGGUUUUUGCCUCUGCCUCCCUUUGAAAAUUAUUUGCACAAUAAGCCUAACGGGAUCACAGUAUUAGAGGGAGCACUGUAGGUCACUGCUCCAAAUGUAUUUAUUUACAGUGGAGUGGAGUUCUAGGUAAAUUGUUACAUUAUUGAAUUACUUUUGCUCUUAAUAUAUUUCCCUUAAGGCUUACCCAAAAAUCUGACUUUCUGUAACUUAACCUCAUCCAACCUGUUUAGAGCAGAAAAUAGCUAGUCUUUGCUCAUUUCUGUGUGAAAGCAUUUUGGGUAUUUGAAGAUCCUGAUGUUUUUGCCCAGUCUUUUCCAGUUAUCCAGUUCUUUCAGUCUUUCCUGCUGAACUUUUUACUUUUUUCACACCAAUUGCCAGCUUUAUCAAUUUGUCUACAGCCUCCUUAAAGCUGUACAUCCAGAAUGAGGCAUGCUGCCCCAGAUGAGUAAUGCAGAAUAGGUUUUUCCUGAUGUGAACAUUAUGGUCGAGUAGGAGAGCUAAAAAUGAUAUAAGCCUUUUUAUACCUGUCCUGUUUCAAACUGCUAUCUUACGUUCCACUUUUGAAAGAUUACAAAAAUGUGUUUUAUAUGUACUGCACCUUCCUAAAUACUGGAUUUCCUCCCCAUCAUAAUUUUCAAGAUAAUGUUGCACUGUUAACUUUCAGCAUUCUUUGCUAUCGUAUAGAGCUUCUGGAAAUUACAAUCCCUCUCUCAUUAUACAUAUGACUUUAGUUUUAGCAAAUCUGAAAAAUUAAAAUGUUCUGCCCAGUUCUCAUUCAGGUACAUUUACUUUCAUUGUUCCUUUGGCUUUAUCUCUCCAAGAGAUAUAAGGUUUUAUCCCAUAGAUAGCUAACCUGAAACACUGGAUCACCUGUUGUCACAGAUUAUGGUUGC
rnacentral:lncRNA from 1 species